rnacentral:rRNA from 1 species
UGCCAGCCGCCGCGGUAAUACAGAGGCGGCGAGCGUUGUUCGGAUUUACUGGGCGUAAAGCGUGCGUAGGUGGUCUCGUGUGUCGGGUGUGAAAUCCCAUGGCUCAACUGUGGAACUGCAUCCGAAACUGCGGGACUGGAGUCCAGGAGGGGAGAGCGGAAUUCUUGGUGUAGCGGUGAAAUGCGUUGAUAUCAAGAAGAACACCGGUGGCGAAGGCGGCUCUCUGGAAUGGUACUGACGCUGAGGCACGAAAGCUGGGGGAGCGAACAGGAUUAGAUA